CAGCCGCCGCGGUAAUACGGAGGGGGCUAGCGUUGUUCGGAAUUACUGGGCGUAAAGCGCACGUAGGCGGCUUGGUAAGUUAGAGGUGAAAGCCCAGGGCUCAACCCUGGAAUUGCCUUUAAGACUGCCGAGCUAGUAGGUGAGAGAGGUAAGUGGAAUUCCGAGUGUAGAGGUGAAAUUCGUAGAUAUUCGGAAGAACACCAGUGGCGAAGGCGGCUUACUGGCUCAUUCUAGACGCUGAGGUGCGAAAGCGUGGGGAGCAAACAGGAUUAGAUACCCGAGUAGUCCCUGUCUCUUAUAC
rnacentral:rRNA from 1 species